rnacentral:rRNA from 1 species
AUUGAACGCUGGCGGCAGGCUUAACACAUGCAAGUCGAGCGGGGGAAGGUAGCUUGCUACAGGACCUAGCGGCGGACGGGUGAGUAAUGCUUAGGAAUAUGCCUAUUAGUGGGGGACAACAUCUCGCAAGAGAUGCUAAUACCGCAUACGUCCUACGGGAGAAAGCAGGGGAGCUUAGGACCUUGCGGUAAUAGCUGAGCACAAGUCGGAUUAGCUAGUUGGGGGGGUAAGGGCCUACCAAGGCGACGAUCUGUAGCGGGUCUGAGAGGAUGAUCCGCCACACUGGGACUGAGACACGGCCCAGACUCCUACGGGAGGCAGCAGUGGGGAAUAUUGGACAAUGGGGGGAACCCUGAUCCAGCCAUGCCGCGUGUGUGAAGAAGGCCUUAUGGUUGUAAAGCACUUUAAGCGAGGAGGAGGCUACUCUAGUUAAUACCUAGGGAUAGUGGACGUUACUCGCAGAAUAAGCACCGGCUAACUACGUGCCAGCCGCCGCGGUAA